GCUGGGUGUGGUGGCGGGCGCCUGUAAUCCCAGCUACUCAGGAGGCUGAGGCAGGAGAAUUGCUUGAACCCAGGAGGCGGAAGUUGCAGUGAGCCGAGAUCGCGCCACUCCAGCCUGGGUGACAGAGCAAGACUCUGUCUCAA
rnacentral:SRP_RNA from 1 species